UGGGGAAUUUUGGACAAUGGGGGAAACCCUGAUCCAGCCAUCCCGCGUGUGCGAUGAAGGCCUUCGGGUUGUAAAGCACUUUUGGCAGGAAAGAAACGUCGCGGGUUAAUACCCCGCGAAACUGACGGUACCUGCAGAAUAAGCACCGGCUAACUACGUGCCAGCAGCCGCGGUAAUACGUAGGGUGCAAGCGUUAAUCGGAAUUACUGGGCGUAAAGCGUGCGCAGGCGGUUCGGAAAGAAAGAUGUGAAAUCCCAGAGCUUAACUUUGGAACUGCAUUUUUAACUACCGGGCUAGAGUGUGUCAGAGGGAGGUGGAAUUCCGCGUGUAGCAGUGAAAUGCGUAGAUAUGCGGAGGAACACCGAUGGCGAAGGCAGCCUCCUGGGAUAACACUGACGCUCAUGCACGAAAGCGUGGGGAGCAAACAGGAUUAGAUACCCUGGUAGUCCACGCCCUAAACGAUGUCAACUAGCUGUUGGGGCCUUCGGGCCUUGGUAGCGCAGCUAACGCGUGAAGUUGACCGCCUGGGGAGUACGGUCGCAAGAUUAAAAACUUAAAGGAAUUGACGGGGGUGCAUAGC
rnacentral:rRNA from 1 species